CGAAAAACACACCCCAAAACUCUCCAAAAAUCUGGAGAGUUCUCCCAAACUCCCCAACCAAAAUUUUGCCCAAAACCAGGUAUAAUUUCCCAAUUCCAGUCCGGGUAGCGUAUAAUUAUUGGUGCAGAAUCAUAUAACAGUGUGUGGUGGCCUAAAUUUAGCGUGGAAAAGUGGAGAUUAAGCAAUAUUAAAGGGAGAAAGACUUACAAGCUCGGACACAUAAGCAUAGCUAAUAGGACGUGGAACAGGUACACCCAAAGGAUGCGAAGUUAACAUAGAAGAUGUUCCAGCGGAGUUGGUAGGCUCCACUUGUCCUGGAGUGCUGCCAAGUCAGAGUAUAUGUACUAUGACGCUAUGUUCGAGGUUAGAGACUUUGCAGAUAGAGUCGUGGGUAUAGAGUGUCGGUUCUGUCAGCAGCCUAUGUGUCAUUUUAUGUUAUGUUAUAAAGUCCAUAUGAUCACAGAUUAUAUUUGAUUUGAGUACGAUGAAAAAAAAAUUAUGUAUGUAAUAGGAGUCAGAGGGUUCGCUCGGCCCUAAGUAAGGGUCGGGUGCCCAUCACACCCUAGUAAGAUCGGGGUGUG